ACAGUGAAGCUAUCAAACUAGCAAUAAGAGCUUUGCUAGAAGUUGUCCAGUCCGGUGGGAAAAACAUUGACCUUGCUAUCAUGAGAAGAAACCAGCCUUUGAAAAUGUUUAGUGCCAAGGAAAUUGAAUUACAAGUCAUUGCAAUAGAAAAGGAGAAGGAGGAAGCAGAGAAGAAAAAACCAAAGAAGACUUUGUGAACCCUGAGAGCUUUGCAUGUUUUGUUGUGCUUAGAACU